rnacentral:rRNA from 1 species
CACGUAGGGGGCAAGCGUUGUCCGGAUUUAUUGGGCGUAAAGCGCUCGUAGGUGGUUCGGUAAGUCGGGUGUGAAACCUCCAGGCUCAACCUGGAGACGCCACCCGAUACUGCUGUGACUGGAGUCCGGUAGGGGAGCGUGGAAUUCCUGGUGUAGCGGUGAAAUGCGCAGAUAUCAGGAGGAACACCAGCGGCGAAGGCGGCGCUCUGGGCCGGUACUGACACUGAGGAGCGAAAGCGUGGGUAGCAAACAGG